rnacentral:rRNA from 1 species
UACGUAGGGUGCGAGCGUUGUCCGGAAUUACUGGGCGUAAAGAGCUCGUAGGUGGUUUGUCGCGUUGUCCGUGAAAACUCACAACUCAAUUGUGGGCGUGCGGGCGAUACGGGCAGACUGGAGUACUGCAGGGGAGACUGGAAUUCCUGGUGUAGCGGUGGAAUGCGCAGAUAUCAGGAGGAACACCGGUGGCGAAGGCGGGUCUCUGGGCAGUAACUGACGCUGAGACGAGAAGCGUGGGGAGCGAACAGG